GUUCCCCUUGUUCAGCACUGGAGCUAAGAUGGUUUCUGCCAGCCCGAGGAUCCCACCCUCUUCCAGAGACACAGGUAUGUAAUGUGCAGAAGUCAUGGGCCUCCUGUGUUCUCUCCAACUCCACAGCUUGGGCUAUCUUGACUGCAGGAGCACGCUGUUCAAAAAAGCUGUAGCAGCUAAUUUUUGGAAGCAGAUACCUGGAUGGAGAUGCUUUUUCAUCAAAAGAAAACAUUUGCACAGAUGUGGUUGACACAGGAGGGCAAGAUCUCAUUCCAUAUGUCAUCAUUAAUCUUAGCUGAGGUAACUGCAAAUGUGUGACCGUCACACAUGCAAUGACACAAAACAUGAAGCCAACAGGAAAGUACCUGGCUACCAGCUACAUGUGGUAGUACAAGUAAAUCAGACUGAACUGCAACAGCUGAGGAUAUUAGAUGAACUUGGAAGUUCCAUGAAGAAAUUACUUAAAAAAUAAAAAACCACAACACCACCUUUGCCUGUCUCUAUGGCUGCUACCAAUAUGGGUGAAACGUGUCAGCAUUCCAUUAUGCUCAAGUCAUCAAUGUGCAAUUUAGAAGUUACUGACUUGUCUCUGUAUUUCAAAGCAGAACAUCAUCAUGAAAACUCUGUGUGCAGGGAAAGUUGUAACAUAUUGCGUGAACCAUCUGUAUUGCUGGUUGAUGAUGGCAUGUCAUGGGCAGUACAGAUGAUGGCAUGUGGAUAGUCUGUUUUACUGGUAAGCAAUCUGGUAAGAAUUUAACACUAAUUAACGGUCUGAACAUCUGCUAACUCAAGAAGUAUAGUUGGAGGUGCAUAAAAUCCUGGAAAGUAAGCUGUUCUGUAGGACUCAGACCCAGUACAAAAUCCACCUAAUUCUUUGCCUUUUCUCACGUUGAUUCCAAGCACUCCCUGUUCCUUCAGAAGGCCUCACCUUCUGGACAUGCCAUUACCAAAUGUUUCUGUGCUAGUGUUUUGUUCAUCUAUUACAUUGAGCUGCAGUUUUGAGAUAUUGCUUCUGUGGUCUUAAAAAAUGACUGGCUUGAGAAGCCUAUGGGCUCUCCUUGCAGGAUGCUGCUUCUGCACCAUGCAGACAGCCUCUUGGUUUGUUCCAAGCUCAGUGACACUUUUCUGUACAGCCAUGAACAGAUAUCACAAGCAGUCUUAAUUUCCCAACCUCAAGAGGUAGAGGUUGGGUUUGUUCCACUGUGUGCUCUUUUUGUUUUAAACCAUUUCUGUGGAGGGAUUUUUUUUUUUCCUUCCUACAUGUGGUAAAUUGAAGCUGACACCGGAGCGGUGUACAACAUUAGAUUUCAACAGGACCCCUAAGAGUCCUUCCAAGAGUGUUUCUUUUAACAAGGUUGCAUGUGGAGACACAUGCCAACCUCAUGGGGGGUAUCAGGUACCUAUGAGGCAGCAUGGGACAGUUAUAUUUCUCUUAAGUGAGUGCUGAUUCUCUCUAGGUCCUGACCAUCUGCUCCGAGAGAAGGCCCAUACAGCCACACAGAACUCCCCAGACCUCAUGGGACUCUGCACCAGUGGGAUUCUGCAGAUGUAUAUUUGCAGUAUCACAGUCAGCAACAGCACAAGCUUGCACUGAUGAAUAAAGCCCAUCAAGAAAUACUGCUUCCAGUAACGCAAGAGUGCUCCCGUGAGCAUUUAAAGCCAUAACUCAAAACCUUCUAAAUGUUACCUACACACCUUCUACCACACAAAUGCACAGGUUAGAACUUGUAACUGGCUGGGGACUUGAGUCUGUCUGUCUUCAUAUCACCAGAGUCCAAAACCACUCUAUUUCCUAUGCCCAAAGGAAAAGUAACAUCUGUUGUGACAGAUUUAUGCAUAUGCUCACCCUUGCUUCAGAGUAAAGAUCUGCAGUGACACUGACUUGCAAAAUGCAAUGAAGACACAGGUAGAGCACAGAAUCUGUCUUGUCACAGUUAAGAAGCCUUUUCCACAAAGAAGUCUUUCACAAAACUGGAGAUGAUAAGGAAAGAGAUGAAAAGCUGAAAGAAUCUGGAUCUGGGCAACUGCCAGAGCUGAUAUGAGCUGGAGGUGGGGAAGCAGCGCUGUGCUCAUCUGCUCUCACAGUGCUGUACAUGGGCACUGGGGCUGCUGCUGCAGACAAGACCUAAAGCGAACUGGAUCUCGAAUGACCUGACACCUAACCGCCUAACAACAGGAAACUGUAAGAAAAUGAUUAUCCUCAGGGAAUGCUAAUCAAAAUGUCUCUCCUCAGCUGGAAUUCUGCUGAAGAAGAAAAUCUGCAGUGCCUUUGUCUUGUUAUCAAGCUUGUGAUAAUGACAGACUUGGAAAGUUCUGUGCUGCUGCCUUCUCAGACUUUCCUUUGGCGUCACUUUAGGGAUAGAGAUUAGAGCCAGUAGACAACACCUGCAACCAGGGCAACCAACAGAAGACCGACUACAAUCCCCACUAUUAGUUUUGCCUGGUCAUUAACCUUUUCACUGUUGUCAUCUGAAGCAAAGAAGAAAAGUUAAUGAGUUAACUUAUGAUGAAGAAAAGUAAUACAGCAUUUUAAAAAUACUUGCAUUAGAAAUGAGAAAAGGAGUCAGAACAUCAAAAUGAAAAAAGGAAAAGAAAAAAAAAGAACUGUUUCAAAAAGACCAAGCGAAAAAAACACAACACUUAAAGCUUCAAGGAAGUCAUGUUCCUAGUCAAUCAUGGUGCCACCUGCUACAGAUCAAGUUGAGUCCUAUUACGAGGGACUGUUCAGUGAUUCUGCAUAUGUCUUAAUCUGAGGCAAUGAACAGAAAGGAUUAUGGAGAUAGAAAACUGUACAUACCAUUUCUGUCCUCUGGUUCAUCGUACUCUGGAAUACUUACUGAAAUGAAAAAUGUUAAAAUUAAAGAUAAAACAUGUGAUAACCUGAAUAUUACUUAUAAUUAUUUGCAUCAGUGACACUAAAAAAAUAAUGCAAUAUUUGCCAAACAUCUUUAAGAAGAAGUUAUUCUUUUAUAACUGUAAGAUA